rnacentral:lncRNA from 1 species
UUUUGAUGAUAUUUUUGUGUGCAUGUUGUGUCAGCUUUGGUCUUACACUAUGUUAAUAUUUUAUUCUACAUACAAUAUAUAGCUUAUGUGAUGGAUUUUGACCUAGGUGGUGGUUCAUAGUUUCAAUUCCUACCAUCAUCUUGGACAAAGAUCAUGCCAUUUAUAACCAAUGGUAGAAGACACAAAACUGUUAUUUAUGUGGUAUAUAUUACCUUAUGGGUUAAAUAAUUAAAUCAGUACCCAGGUAGCCUUUGGGUGAAAUCUAUUUGUUUAUUUUUUUU